rnacentral:misc_RNA from 1 species
GAUGAAGAACGCAGCGAAAUGCGAUAAGUAGUGUGAAUUGCAGAAUUCCGUGAAUCAUCGAAUCUUUGAACGCACAUUGCGCCUUCUGGUAUUCCGGAAGGCAUGCCUGUUCGAGAGUCAUUAACAACCGUUUCGAUCCCUUUCUUUCAGAAAUUACAAAGAGGAAAAGGGUUUGGUUAUGGUGGAGGAGGGAAAGGGAGCGUUUAGCCUGUAAAAAAAGAGGCUGUGUUCCGCCUCCCCCCCAAAAUUGUACAGGCGGUCGUGUGCGCCCACGCAUCGAGGUGUUGUAAAAGCUGCCACGGCACUUUUCACCUGUGCAGUGCGAGAUUGGCCAGCCGGUUUAAAAACCCCUCCAAACAAUCAAAGGUUGACCUCGGAUCAGGUAGGGAUACCCGCUGAACUUAAGCAUAUCAAUAAGCAGAGGA